CGGCGGACGAUUGAAAACAGGGCUCGGUGGGACUACGUUUCACAAGUUUCCCAAGGACAAAGAUGCGAGGAAGAAGUGGGAAGUGGCUUUGAGAAGAGAAGGAUUUACUGCAAUGUGUGUGUGUGUG